rnacentral:rRNA from 1 species
AGUGAACGCUGGCGGUAGGCCUAACACAUGCAAGUCGAACGGCAGCACAGUAAGAGCUUGCUCUUACGGGUGGCGAGUGGCGGACGGGUGAGGAAUACAUCGGAAUCUACUUUUUCGUGGGGGAUAACGUAGGGAAACUUACGCUAAUACCGCAUACGGCCUACGGGUGAAAGCAGGGGAUCUUCGGACCUUGCGCGAUUGAAUGAGCCGAUGUCGGAUUAGCUAGUUGGCGGGGUAAAGGCCCACCAAGGCGACGAUCCGUAGCUGGUCUGAGAGGAUGAUAGGCGGCACUGGAACUGAGACACGGUCCAGACUCCUGAGGGAGGCAGCAGUGGGGAAUAUUGGACAAUGGGCGCAAGCCUGAUCCAGCCAGACCGCGUGGGUGAAGAAGGCCUUCGGGUUGUAAAGACCUUUUGUUGGGAAAGAAAAGCAGCAGGUUAAGACCCAGCUGUUCUGACGGUACCCAAAGAAUAAGCACCGGCUAACUUCGUG